GAUGAACGCUGGCGGCGUGCCUAAUACAUGCAAGUCGAGCGAACGGACGAGAAGCUUGCUUCUCUGAUGUUAGCGGCGGACGGGUGAGUAACACGUGGAUAACCUACCUAUAAGACUGGGAUAACUUCGGGAAACCGGAGCUAAUACCGGAUAAUAUUUUUGAACCGCAUGUUCAAAAAGUGAAAGCCGGCCUUGCUGUCCCUUAUAGAUGGAUCCGCGCUGCAUUAGCUAGUUGGUAAGGUAAGGGCUUACCAAGGCAACGAUGCAUAGCCGACCUGAGAGGGUGAUCGGCCACACUGGAACUGAGACACGGUCCAGACUCCUACGGGAGGCAGCAGUAGGGAAUCUUCCGCAAUGGGCGAAAGCAUGACGGAGCAACGCCGCGUGAGUGAUGAAGGUCUUCGGAUCGUAAAACUCUGUUAUUAGGGAAGAACAUAUGUGUAAGUAACUGUGCACAUCUUGACGGUACCUAAUCAGAAAGCCACGGCUAACUACGUG
rnacentral:rRNA from 1 species